GUGGGGAAUAUUGGACAAUGGGCGAAAGCCUGAUCCAGCCAUGCCGCGUGUGUGAAGAAGGUCUUCGGAUUGUAAAGCACUUUAAGUUGGGAGGAAGGGUAGUAACCUAAUACGUUGCUACUUUGACGUUACCGACAGAAUAAGCACCGGCUAACUUCGUGCCAGCAGCCGCGGUAAUACGAAGGGUGCAAGCGUUAAUCGGAAUUACUGGGCGUAAAGCGCGCGUAGGUGGUUCAGUAAGUUGGAAGUGAAAUCCCCGGGCUCAACCUGGGAACUGCUUUCAAAACUGCUGAGCUAGAGUACGGUAGAGGGUGGUGGAAUUUCCUGUGUAGCGGUGAAAUGCGUAGAUAUGCUACGGAACACCGAUUGCGAAGGCAGCUUACUAUUUCAUGAUUGACGCUGAGGUGCGAAAGCGUGGGGAGCAAACAGGAUUAGAAACCCGUGUAGUCC
rnacentral:rRNA from 1 species